rnacentral:lncRNA from 1 species
CUCACUUUCUACCUUUUCCUCCUCCGUUUCAUUCCUUCUUUUUUCUUCAUUGAAAACUACGAACACUCCGCCAUCAAAACGCAGAAUAACUUCACACACGAUACGCGAAACGACACCGCCAUCGGACGUGCUCUUUCUCAGCUUCUUUCUGCAUUAAACGAUAUUCCAGUUAGUUCAAGAAAAUACGAAGUUGUUCGAUCGUUAACUGAGAAGAUUAUCGACGAUAAUCACCUCGAUGGUGUUCAUUCGUUACGUGAGGUUAACCGUGUUGCUUUGUCUUCAGCGUUUGGGAGGGCGUUGGGGCAGUUGG